rnacentral:lncRNA from 1 species
AAGAUAAUUUGCCAAUCAAAUUGACCAAAUUAUCCCUGAAUGAUUCUUAAUCAUUCAUCAGCUUUCUUGAUCAAUCAGGAAUCUUCUAUGCGUGUGACCUCAUAGGUUCGAAACUAAGCCGGUAGUAUAGGAACAAUUUCCUACACUAAUCGAUGUGACCAUCUAGCAAUGGUACCCGACGUCCGGAUAGGUCGAAUAUAUGCGAAGCAAAUAUUCUGAAACCCUGAACUAUGGUUACAGUAUAAUUCAAUCCCUUUGACUCCUAAUACCAGGAUGACUUAGAGCUCACUGUCAACCCUAUAAUUAGUACAUCCAUUAUGUGAUUAACUUUAGAUGUCCCGUGACUCCUCACUGGAAUUACCCUGGCCAAGGUUUUGCUAAAUUAAUCACAAGACA